rnacentral:tRNA from 1 species
GCCCGCCUAGCUCAAUCGGAUAGAGCGUCAGACUCUUACAGGCGGAUGCGUUUGACACCCCUGCAGGGUUAUCUGAAGGCUGCGAGUUCGACCCUCGCGGUGGGCU